CGCGGGGCCCGGGGCCGGUCGGGUCGGGCCGGGGGGCGAGAGGGUGCCAGCGGCCGCAGCUGAAGUUGGGCCGAGAGCCGGCGACGGCCCCGCGCCGGGGUCGCAGGGUACCAGUGUGCGGAGUUCCUGUUGCCAAGCUGAAGGUGGCCCUGGGCAGGCACAGGUGUGGUCAUAUCUUCAGCCAACAGGACCAUCCUCCGGAGGGCCACCUCUGGGGACUUCCUACGGGAAGAGAGUGACAGAUUUGGUGCUUCUGUGUGUUUCUGCCGCUUCAGUGGGGCCGCUGCGGGAGACAGCGGGUGGAUCCUCCAGCAGCCUGUCUGCUGAGCCUGCCUUCUCAAGUCUACUGUUAAAAUCAGGACCGGGUCGUGUCCGAGCCUACAGGCCCUGUCUCCGCUCCCCAGGCCUGCAGGAGUUGAGGGCUGCACCUGCUCGCUGGAGAGGGAGAGGCAGAUUUAGUGGACGCCUGGCAUGGACUCGGACUGGCCUUUGGAAGCUCCCUGCCCUGACGGGGUUGCCUGUCACCACUGCGAAGUGAGGCUUGGCAGGACCUGCACCUGAGAAAGGCUGUGUGUGGUCUUGGGGUCCACACCUGCAGAGCUAACUUACUGCCAGACGGCGACUUACUGUGGGCCACCCUCAGUGAACCGGGGUGUCCUCAGCUGGCCCUACAGAGCACUUCUGUGCUGGGGAUGAGUAGGAACUCUGGGCGAGGAGGGUCCCAGCGCCGCCCCUCGAUACAGCCUGGCUCUGCCCUCUGCCCGUACUUACACCAGGUGGGAUCCCUGCCCUGCAUUGCCUGGGGAUUGGCUGGGC
rnacentral:lncRNA from 1 species